rnacentral:rRNA from 1 species
ACCGGUAGGUGCGGUUGCCUUAGUACGCGUUAGGAUUUUGGCUUUAGUAGCGCUAUGUGGGUGACAAUCCCACAUGCCUAAUUCCUAUGGUUUCCUCAGGAAUGUUCGUCCGCUGAGGGUUAGUCGGGACCUAAGCUGAGGCCGAAAGGCGUAAGAGAUGGACAAUCGGUUGAUAUUCCGAUACCACUAUUAUCGUUUUUAUCGAUGGUGUGACGGAGAAGGAUAGGAUGUGCUAGCUAUUGUAUGCUAGUCUAAGCGUUUAGGGAGUUUGAAUAUGCACAUCCGUUCUAACAAUUCUUAGGCGUGCUGGGGAAGGUUCUAAGGAACCGAAGUAUCUGAUUCCAUGCUUCCAUAAAAGGCAUCUAGAAAGAGAAAUAGUUCCC